AUAAAAAAUGAUACACCUGAACAAGCCCAAUCCUGUCUGAUCUUGGAAGCUAAGCAGGGUCAGGUCUGGUUAGUACUUGGAUGGGAAACUACCUAGGAAGAUUUGGUGCUGUAGGCA
rnacentral:rRNA from 1 species